rnacentral:rRNA from 1 species
UGCAGUCGUACGAGAGUUUUUACUCAAGUGGCGGACGGGUGAGGAACACGUAAGAAUUUGCCUUUAGGAGGGGGACAACAACUAGAAAUGGUUGCUAAUACCCCAUAUGCUUUCGAGUGAAAUGGAUUUUUCCGCCUAAAGAGAAGCUUGCGGCUGAUUAGCUUGUUGGUGAGGUAAUGGCUCACCAAGGCGACGAUCAGUAUCUGGUUUGAGAGGAUGAUCAGACACACUGGAACUGAGACACGGUCCAGACUCCUACGGGAGGCAGCAGUGGGGAAUUUCCCGCAAUGGGCGAAAGCCUGACGGAGCAAUACCGCGUGAGGGAUGACGGCCUAUGGGUUGUAAACCUCUUUUUUCAGGGAGGAAUCAAAUGACGUGUACCUGAAGAAUAAGCAUCGGCUAACUCCGUGCCAGCAGCCGCGGUAAGACGGAGGAUGCAAGUGUUAUCCGGAAUCACUGGGCGUAAAGCGUCUGUAGGUGGUCCAAUAAGUCAACUGUUAAAUCUUGAGGCUCAACCUCAAAAUCGCAGUCGAAACUAUUAGACUAGAGUAUAGUAGGGGUAAAGGGAAUUUCCAGUGGAGCGGUGAAAUGCGUAGAUAUUGGAAAGAACACCGAUGGCGAAAGCACUUUACUGGGCUAUUACUAACACUCAGAGACGAAAGCUAGGGUAGCAAAUGGGAUUAGAUACCCCAGUAGUCCUAGCCGUAAACAAUGGAUACUAGAUGU